CCCUUAGAUGUCCUGGGCCGCACGCGCGUUACACUGAUGCAUUCAACGAGCUUAUAACCUUGGCCGAGAGGCCUGGGCAAUCUUGUUAACGUGCAUCGUGAUAGGGAUAGAUUAUUGAAAUUAUUAAUCUUGAACGAGGAAUUCCUAGUAAACGCAGAUCAUCAAUCUGCAUUGAUUACGUCCCUGCCCUUUGUACACACCGCCCGUCGCUCCUACCGAUUGGAUGAUCCGGUGAAUUCUCAGGAUCGUUGUCUUGGUGCUGUUUCAGCAUCCAGGAUAUGCGAGAAUUUGUGUAAACCUUAUCAUCUAGAGGAAGGAGAAGUCGUAACA
rnacentral:rRNA from 1 species